rfam:Paenibacillus sp. oral taxon 786 str. D14 genomic scaffold supercont1.3, whole genome shotgun sequence.
CAUAUUGUUCAGGGGUGCUGGAAUUGGCCGGCUGAGAGUGUAUCCCUCCAAGAUACUGACCCUUCAACCUGAUCUGGAUAAUGCCAGCGUAGGGAGCCAUACCAUGGUGAUGA